rnacentral:tRNA from 1 species
CUCUUNAUUUAAAAGNCAGUAGUUAAACUCUACUAUUAAGGA